UAACAUAAAAACUCCAAUUUGAAUUGAAAGAAUAUUUCGGUUUUUUAAUAACAUCAAACACAUGUACAAAAAAGGCGCCAAAAAUGAGUUUUUUUAAAUACAAAAUUUUUACCACAAACUAGCUUUAUAUACAAAUAAUAUAACCUUUAGCUAUAACAAAAGGUUAAGUAAAUUAUUAAAACAAGCGCCAAAUUUUUAAAUAUUUCGAUAGUUUUGCUUUGCUGCUAAAUGUAGGGUGGCCAUUAAAUAUAUAUCGAUAGCACAGGGCUGCCAGACAUUAAAUGAAAAACAGCUGAUGCUGCCCAGCCGGUUUGUUUUUGGCGGCCUUGUUUAUAAUUUUUUGUGACUGAAACUUACAUUAAAGAUGGUACUGAAUGGCGCUUGAAGUGGAAAAUCUUACAAAUAAAUAUCUGCCCCAGCUGCUCGAUCAAGUCUUUGAGAAAUAUCGCAGUCAAGUAGAUUCUGGUGGUCUAACAAAGGAACGUGGGAAGUUGUUUUCCGAUUUAUCCUGUUUACUGGGCGAACAACUGGUGCUACGAUCCCUUCAGCUUUUGGAAAGCCAUAGCUUCAUUUUUUAUUAUUCCAAAAACAAGCGCCACCUUUACGUGGUGGAAAUUUCUAAAGGAUUGGAGUAUUUUCGGUUGCUCCCGAAGAUAAACUACUGCAAGUGCGACUUUUUUCAGUGCCACGUGCUGCAGUUGCCCAAGGGAAUCCUCUACCAGGACAUUCCCAGUGGCCAAGCGGGCAUUCUGGAGGAUUGGAGCGAGGAGAGCCGAGUGUCUUUCACCUGCCAGCACAUCCUGGCCCUGCGACUCCACCAAUUUCUGCAGAAGGGCAGGAGAACCUGGGAGCAGAUCCUUCAAAAGGAGGAACUCAAGGAGCUGCAGAGGGACAUCUUCCGGGAUUAGGAUGGUCGAUGACGAGGCUUCUCCCUACGGCACCUACAAGUUCGUGGCUCGGGUGGAUCACAUCAAGAUCUUCAAUCAGGCCAUCAAGUCCAUCUGCUUUAAUGAUUACGGCAUGCUACAGGUGUCAGAGGAUGGACUUCGCAUCACUGUGGAACAGGGCAAGUCCAUUCAAGCCACUCUUUUUAUACCGCCUGCAGCCUUCAAAGAGUUCUAUGUGCAGGACUUCCAGAGCUUUGGCCUAAAGAU